rnacentral:rRNA from 1 species
CAGCCGCCACGGGAAUACGUAGGUGGCAAGCGUUGUCCGGAAUUAUUGGGCGUAAAGGGCUCGCAGGCGGUUUCUUAAGUCUGAUGUGAAAGCCCCCGGCUCAACCGGGGAGGGUCAUUGGAAACUGGGAAACUUGAGUACAGAAGAGGAGAGUGGAAUUCCACGUGUAGCGGUGAAAUGCGUAGAGAUGUGGAGGAACACCAGUGGCGAAGGCGACUCUCUGGUCUGUAACUGACGCUGAGGAGCGAAAGCGUGGGGAACGAACAGGAUUAGAUACCCGCGUAGUCCCUGUCUCUUAUAC